ensembl:lncRNA
CCUCCCCCAGCCUCUAGCCUCCCCGCGGACUCUGACCGGGCCGUGGCGCCGCUGCUCCGCGCUCGGCUACUGCGAUCGCCGAGCUGAGCUUCGUGCAUAGCCGGGUCCUAGAGAUGCCCGCCUUUUCAUGCCCAGCAGUCCCGAGCUGCAGACUGGGUAGACUGAGGCUACGAGUGAUGGGAGCUCCUCCCUCUGCCUCCACCACUUCAGGGCAGUUAUUAUCAAUCCAAUCUGACGACCCUUCCUGGGCCCUCACCCUAGGUCUCAUUCCCAGAUCCCGCAGAAAGUUAGCUCAGACUGGAGACCAGCCAGGGAUGAGGAGAGAAGAAAAGGUCAUCCCAGGGCCUAGCCUUCACCUCUGCCCUCCGGCCAGAGCACUUACUCCCGAACAAUACCUAAAGUAGAGAUUGCUGGAACCAGCAUCCCCACCCCCCAUCCAUCCUGUAAAAAAAAAAAAAAAAAAAAAAAAAAAGACGAAGAAGAAUCUGCUUUCUCCUAGGCCAAACCCUGGCUACUUACAGUGGCCUGCUGCCUUCUCUGCUCCCGCCAAGACCUUCCCUAGGCUCGCAGCCAACUCCCUGUACUACUAGGCAGAGGAAAGUGUGUUCUAGCAGUCAACUCCUCUCUUGGGAGCCCACCCGAGUGCUCGUCUGCCCACAGCAGGGCCAGUCCGACCCAGUACCUAGAGCGCUGUUCUCUCCCGUUCUCACUGCACCGCCUGGAAUGUUUCACCCUCUCUCUGCUCACCUGAGGGAAUCCCGACGACGCCUAGGAUAGCUCAGAAAGUACUGCCUCCUCCGGGAAGCCUUCGUGGAAGCUCGACCCUCCCCCUCUCAGCCCUGCUCCCGCUGCAUUCUGGGUUCUUCUGACUGUCCUAGAUGAAUGCUGUCAGUGGUUUGCAGUUUUUGGUGACCCAACAAUCUUGGCCCCACCAGUCCUCCUCUUUGUCACCAGCAGAGGGGUUCAUUGUUUUGGAGAUCAGGUCUUCUGUACCCCAGACUGGCCUUCAGCUCCUUGCGCAGUUGAGAAUGGCUUUGGGUUCCUGGUUCUCUGGCCUCCAACUCCUGAGGGCUGGAACUGCAGGCAGCUCUGGUGGCUUAAAAUGACAUCGAACUGGAUAGACACUUGGGGAUGAGCGUGAACAACUGACCUCCUGCCUCCACCUCUCAAAUGCUGGAACUACAGGGAUGUAAUACCAUGUACGGCUGCCAUGUUUACCUUAGAGAGCCUGAGUGGCGAAGGCUCUGUUCUCCAUUAUAGUAUAAAGUCAUCAUUUUCUUUAAG